GUGGGCGUCUUCUAAUGGUUAGGAAAUCUCGUUGUGGUGUUAAAGGCUCGCCUCUUGCAACGCCGUGAAAAUAUCGGUUCAAUUCCGAUCGCCCACA